GACUGGGAGAACUGCAGAAACCUUUCCAUUUUCAUGAUGAGACUGUUAUAACCACCCCUCAGUUCAUUGAGUCCCUCCUCACCUUUGGAAGGAAGCCCAAAAUUGACCGGAGAGUUAAUCAUGAAGCUAAACUCAGUGAGAAGAGGAAAUGUCUACUUUGCAGAGAUGGUGUAUUAAAAGCAUUUGUCUACAAGAUGAAUAAAAGGUGGAUUUUCAUAUGAUGCUGAGCACAGAAAGUAUGCUGCCUUAGCAAUGAGCUGAUGAUAUCAUCUUCAUCAUUACUGAUUGCGCUAUUCGGAGAGAAGCUAACAUUCGGUUUGGCUGAGUGAGUGGAGAUAUCUCUGAACUGACUAGAAUGUAAUUUCUGUAAGAUGUUGGUUGGUUUGUAGUAGUCUUAUCUGAGUGAACAAUCAAUCCUAGUUGAGAUUGGACCCAUAUAUCUCAUGCAUACAUUGAAUUUGUAUAUCUGUUGGAUCUGAAGCUGUCAAAAUUCUAAAUAAUUUUAUAGCCCUGUUGUUUGAAUUGUAGCUGAAUGCUGACCUUUGUAAAGCCAACCACAUCCAAGCAGAUAUAACUACAAUAUUCCCAAAUCUGGGAAUCUGCUUCACCUGCCUCUACUUGCUUUUAUUUAGGACUUUUCUUAUAUCCUUGGAAGCUGCGACUUUCUGACCAUACCCACUUGAGAUGUUUCUGGAGAAUCUGUUCUCAGGUGUGACUUUUGUUUGAUUAGGUGAAAGCAAAUAAAUUACAAGAUCAGCCUUCUGUUGUGAAAAAUCCAGUACUUGUAGACAUGUUAUAUCUGCCAUGUUUAGAAUGAUGAGUAAUUUAAGUAUUACAAGGAAAGUUUAAUUUUUCUAUUUGAGGUGUUUUGUCAUCGAUUUAAGGUGUGGUUCAGCGAUAUUUGAAGUAUAUAAACUGAUGGACUUUUAGUUGCAUAUGAUACAAGAUCUGAAAUAAUGAAGCCAAUACUUUUGCACAGGACUUGUAACACAAGGAACACCAAGAUGUUUAUGAUGCAUUAGCACACGCAUAAUUUCAUUCAUGGUCUCUUGGAUGCUAUGUAAAUACCAUUUGUAGCAGGUCAAAUUCAAAUCACAUUAAUAGUCAUAUAGGCCAGUCAUGUUUUUG